rnacentral:lncRNA from 1 species
GAGAGGUUUUCAUUCAGAAGAGCUUUCCUGCAUGUUAGGUUGACUCCAGUGUGUGAAGAGACAGAGGACCUUGCAGGUGCUAUGCUUGUAUCCAGCAUGAGCAUCUUCCACACAGAACAUAUUCAGCUUCCUUCCUCCUGAUUCACAAGGUUUUGUUAUAAGAAAGACUAAAUAAUGUAGACCAUAAAGUAAUUCUGUUUUAUUUUUGCAGGUUGAAGAGACACUAUGCCUUUUUGUUGUAAAAACCACUGAAAAACACCUGCUUUUAACUAUGUGACAUAAGCCUGCUUUCCAAUAAAUGCUUUAUUUCCAGCAGCAACAGGAAGAACAGAAUCUCCUUUACUAGACUGUUAACUACAGAUCAGAAAAUGAGGCAGAAGACCACAUCCUAAUUCCUGACAGCCCACAGGUCAGCAACAGUGUGCCAGUGAACACACAGUGCCACUGAGCCGCCCUGUGAGCUGUGGAGUGACCAGAAAAUUUAAUGCAUGUUGCCACCCAGAAGCACUGUGCAAAGACAGUUCUGGUAAUGCAGUGAGUUGCUUCCUCAGGUAGACCCAGGGAAUGUUAACAGUCUGAAACAGACUAGAUCCUGAGAUGAUCUGAGCAGCUCCUGGAAGGGCUGAGGAUCCUUAGCUCCUGGAAGCAAUAGAGUGGAACAUAUCAAAGGAAAACUGUUACAUUUUACAAGACCACUUGCUGAUGUUCAUCUGCAUUGCAUCACUCUGAAACCAAGAGCAGCUGCACUGCUUACUGUAAGCACAUCUGGAAACAGGAGCUGUGUGUUUUGCCCAGACAAUCAUGAAAAUAAAACUCAGAGUUUGAAGUUUUAUGGUUUAUGUUUAUUUUCAUUUUGUCUUACUUUGCUGCUGAUUUAAGUCAAAUGACUUUACAGCUUUGAUAUGGGUGCACACGAUGUGCAAACUGGUUGCCACAGACACUGGAUUUAGAUGUCAUCUGGCACUUUCUGAAGCAGACAACUUUAUGAUAGAGCUAAAUAUUCUUUUUAUUUUAGGUGUUGUGAAUGCAGAAAAAUAAGUGAAUACAAAUAGUUCGGUAAAAUAAGGAACAUAUUUUUAU